GGAGUAAAUAUUUGAUGUUCACAAUCUCUUAAAUCCAGAUUUUGAAGGAAAAGAACCCGACGAAAGCUCAACAAAAGCUUAAAAAGCUCAACAAGACACUAAAAAUGCAAGAAAUGGUGUGUUUUAUUAAGGUUUUCUGAAAAAUGCAAAGUCAAAUAACUAUAAAAGAUGGUAAUAAGCAAAUCAAGCAAAUAAUAAAAAAUGGAGAUUGUCAAAUAAAAGAAAUACGGAUCAUAGGCUAAGGUUAUUGACAAGGUAUGA
rnacentral:lncRNA from 1 species